UACGUAGGGAGCAAGCGUUGUCCGGAAUCAUUGGGCGUAAAGCGCGCGUAGGCGGCUCGAUCAGUCUGUUGUGGAAAGUCAAAAGGCUCAACCUUUGAAUGCCGAUGGAUACUGUCGAGCUAGAGUCCGGAAGAGGCGGGUGGAAUUCCUGGUGUAGCGGUGGAAUGCGCAGAUAUCAGGAGGAACACCAACGGCGAAGGCAGCCCGCUGGGACGGUACUGACGCUAAGGGCGCGAAAGCGUGGGGAGCGAACAGG
rnacentral:rRNA from 1 species